CUGUCUUAGACAGCGGCUAACCGAAAGCUCUGCCCUAGAGGUUCUGUGCCCUGGAAUCUAUCGAGGGAACAGCAGAAGACAGAUUUAUCCCAAAGACAGAACAGGAAAGCUUCAUCCAAUCAGUCCCUGAUGCUGACAGUGACAGAUGGAGAAGGGGACUGCAAGUUGCAAACACCAGGAAACAGUCCAGAAAAUGGACUUGAGGACUUCACUAAGAUGCAGCUAGCUUAAGUGCCUGAAGUACCAGACAACCCUGGAGCUACAGGAAGAUAAACGCUAGAACUGGCCAAUUAAAAGGGAAGACCAUACAGAAGAGAAGUGCACAUGCUUGCUCUCCUGACCCGAAACAUCCUGGCAGGCAGUCUGAAGAAAGAAGGAAUGGAAGGCAUCAGUAAGUAAGACUCAGUAUGUUGGAGCUCGGCAGCCAAGUUACUGGGCCAUAAAGCAUU
rnacentral:lncRNA from 1 species